rnacentral:rRNA from 1 species
UACGAGGGGGGCAAGCGUUGUUCGGAAUUAUUGGGCGUAAAGGGUGCGUAGGCGGUUUGGUAAGUCUUAUGUGAAAUCUACAGGCUCAACUUGUAGUCUGCAUGAGAAACUGCCGGGCUUGAGUAUGGGAGAGGUGAGUGGAAUUCCUGGUGUAGCGGUGAAAUGCGUAGAUAUCAGGAGGAACACCUGUGGCGAAAGCGGCUCACUGGACCAUAACUGACGCUGAUGCACGAAAGUUAGGGGAGCAAACAGG